GUAUGUGCACUCUUCUUCUCUUGAAUUUUUUAUUGAUACUGCACUUGUGCCGUUGUGCGGGAUUACAUUACAGUAGUACAUGAAGGUUGUCUAAUAAGAGUCAAACAGGCUAAUCAUGCAUAUAAAAUAUUCCUAAGUAAAAAGACCGAUAAUGUAUUGUUGUGAUAGUUUGGUGAUAUUUGGUGGACGGGGCUAUAAUAACUGCAGCGUGAGUUUGGCGGCGCAUUUUGGAUUUGGUCUUUCCGCAUCCUUGUAUGGAAAUUAUAUAAAAUGGGUUUAAAGCCCUCAUAAGGAAAAAGAAAAAAAAUAGUGUCGUCCUAAAGUUCGCAAUAGUAGGUUUGCUUUGAAGCUUUAAAAAAUUUCAAGAAAUUAGUCUAAUUCCGAUAAAAUCCCUCUACACUUCCAAACCACCACUUUGAGAAUUUGUUCAUUUUUAUUAAUUUUCUCAUCAAAACUCAAAAGCCGAUCCUGAUCCAAAAUCCGAAGCUCCAAAAUGCGCGCCGCCAUGAUGGCCACCCAUUUCCGUAUUCCGAUAAAACUCCGGUAGCCGAGUUUAAUUCUGAC
rnacentral:sRNA from 1 species